rnacentral:rRNA from 1 species
UUAUCACGGGAGACACACGGCGGGUGCUAACGUCCGUCGUGAAGAGGGAAACAACCCAGACCGCCAGCUAAGGUCCCAAAGUCAUGGUUAAGUGGGAAACGAUGUGGGAAGGCCCAGACAGCCAGGAUGUUGGCUUAGAAGCAGCCAUCAUUUAAAGAAAGCGUAAUAGCUCACUGGUCGAGUCGGCCUGCGCGGAAGAUGUAACGGGGCUAAACCAUGCACCGAAGCUGCGGCAGCGAACGUAUCACCCAAGACAACUUUACGGAGUUGACGAUUGACGGAGCGAAGCGACGUCAAAGCGUUCAUUAAAGUCGAGUUGGCUUAGGGAUACGUUCGUUGGGUAGGGGAGCGUUCUGUAAGCCUGUGAAGGUGUGUCGUGAGGCAUGCUGGAGGUAUCAGAAGUGCGAAUGCUGACAUAAGUAACGAUAAAGCGGGUGAAAAGCCCGCUCGCCGGAAGACCAAGGGUUCCUGUCCAACGUUAAUCGGGGCAGGGUGAGUCGACCCCUAAGGCGAGGCCGAAAGGCGUAGUCGAUGGGAAACGGGUUAAUAUUCCCGUACUUGGUGUUACUGCGAAGGGGGGACGGAGAAGGCUAUGUUGGCCGGGCGACGGUUGUCCCGGUUUAAGCGUGUAGGUGUGUGUUCCAGGUAAAUCCGGUUCACUUUAACACUGAGGCGUGACGACGAGGCACUACGGUGCUGAAGCAACAAAUGCCCUGCUUCCAGGAAAAGCCUCUAAGCAUCAGGUAACAUCAAAUCGUACCCCAAACCGACACAGGUGGUCAGGUAGAGAAUACCAAGGCGCUUGAGAGAACUCGGGUGAAGGAACUAGGCAAAAUGGUGCCGUAACUUCGGGAGAAGGCACGCUGACACGUAGGUGAAGUGAUUUACUCAUGGAGCUGAAGUCAGUCGAAGAUACCAGCUGGCUGCAACUGUUUAUUAAAAACACAGCACUGUGCAAACACGAAAGUGGACGUAUACGGUGUGACGCCUGCCCGGUGCCGGAAGGUUAAUUGAUGGGGUCAGCGCAAGCGAAGCUCCUGAUCGAAGCCCCGGUAAACGGCGGCCGUAACUAUAACGGUCCUAAGGUAGCGAAAUUCCUUGUCGGGUAAGUUCCGACCUGCACGAAUGGCGUAAUGAUGGCCAGGCUGUCCCCCCCCGAGCCUCAGUGAAAUUGAACUCGCUGUGAAGAUGCAGUGUACCCGC